rnacentral:rRNA from 1 species
CUACGGGUCGCAGCAGUGGGGAAUAUUGGGCAAUGGGCGCAAGCCUGACCCAGCAACGCCGCGUGAGGGAAGAAGGUUUUCGGAUUGUAAACCUCUGUCCUUGGGGACGAAGAAGUGACGGUACCCAAGGAGGAAGCUCCGGCUAACUACGUGCCAGCAGCCGCGGGAAUACGUAGGGAGCAAGCGUUGUCCGGAAUUACUGGGCGUAAAGGGUGCGUAGGCGGCAUAUUAAGUCAGGUGUGAAAUACUCGGGCUCAACCCGAGGGGUGCAUUUGAAACUGAUAAGCUUGAGUGUGAGAGAGGAAAGUGGAAUUCCUAGUGUAGCGGUGGAAUGCGUAGAUAUUAGGAGGAACACCAGUGGCGAAGGCGACUUUCUGGCUCAUAACUGACGCUGAGGCACGAAAGCGUGGGGAGCAACCAGGAUUAGAUACCCCUGUAGUC